CCUGCACCUAUUUUUGGCUCACUUUUAAGCUCCUUUCUAUGCCUAUUUUUAGUUACUACUUUGUGUAGCAAGCAUUGCUUACGCGAACUUUGCAAACGUGAAAAUCUAAUUCUUUUUUUUUGGUACAAAUGGACGGUCACACUAUUCUGAUGCAAGAGCAGCUCAAAUGAUCAAAAUACAAAAUAUUCCGCAAGAAUGACGGAGAGACAUCCCCUAGCCUCCAAAUCCAAUCCCCCA
rnacentral:lncRNA from 1 species